CUAACUUUCUCUCUCCCCUUCAUCAUAUCGCAUAAACUUUCUUUAAUAAACUUCUCUCACACAUACAAACACACACAGUCCAGAUCUAGAUCUACGAGGCAGUUGAUAAUUAUUUUUUCUUCCAGCAAGAAUCCUCGAACCACAUGGGGGCCAACACACAUAUAAAUUACACAUUGCAAUUCAUACCCUCAUAGCCAUCUCCUGAUUAUCACAAAACCCUGUUUUCCGAUUAUCACCAUCUCCGGUAAUACCUCACCCACCAUUCACCGUGAACCCACAACCAACUACCGCCGACACCUUCGAUUCACCUCCGGCGACUUCCGAGCGACCAUUCACCAUCCCCGAUUAACAUCAAGUUUCAAAGCUUUUUUUAGUUUUCAGCAUUAAGUGAAUCAGAAUCAUGUCACGCUACCAUGAAGAUGAUGAAUAUGUGGCAGAUGAAUAUGAAAUGGAAGAUUUAGAUGAUAAUAUGGAUUAUGAGACUAAUGACAGAGAUAUUGGUUCAGACUUUGAUGGGGAUGAGUACGAGUACAUGGUUGGAUGGAUUUAUGGUUCACUUACAGAGGAUAUCCUUACGGGCUUCAAGAUGCAUUGCCACGGUCGGGUUUAUCAGUAUAUUAUGUUCCGAAGAGGGUUGCAUCAAGGUUUCUGCUCCCAUUAAUCUUUCGGAUUGUCUUCACCAAGUUCUUAGGAGGGCUGAGUUUUUUGUUCAAUUUUUUGAUGUUACACAUGUGUAUUCUGAUUUUGCUCUGUUUUAGUGUGAUGUACAUGUGUAUUUUGAUUUUGCCCUCUUUUUAAUGCGAUGUGUACAUGUGUAUUGAAUGUUGAUGUACACCUGUGAAUUACUGUACACAUAUGUACGAUGCUGAGUACACAUGUGUACUGUUCUAUUU